UACGUAGGGUGCAAGCGUUAUCCGGAAUUAUUGGGCGUAAAGAGCUCGUAGGCGGUUUGUCGCGUCUGCUGUGAAAACCUGAGGCUCAACCUCGGGCUUGCAGUGGGUACGGGCAGACUAGAGUGCGGUAGGGGUGACUGGAAUUCCUGGUGUAGCGGUGAAAUGCGCAGAUAUCAGGAGGAACACCGGUGGCGAAGGCGGGUCUCUGGGCCGAUACUGACGCUGAGGAGCGAAAGCGUGGGGAGCGAACAGG
rnacentral:rRNA from 1 species